rnacentral:sRNA from 1 species
AUUUAACUUCGCGGCGGCGGCGGCGACUGCGGCGCCGCGGGCUGGAGGCCGGCGUCGGGGAAGGUCCUGGUGCCGGAUUCCGCACGAGGUGUUGACGGGCGGCUUCUGCCAACUUCUCCCCAGCGCGCGCCGAGCCCGCGCGGCCCCGGGGCUGCACGUCCCAGAUACUUCUGCGGCGCAAGGCUACAACUGAGACCCGGAGGAGACCAGACCCCAUGGCUUCCUGGACGAGCCCCUGGUGGGUGCUGAUAGGGAUGGUCUUCAUGCACUCUACCCUCCUGCAGACCACAGCUGAGAAAUCUCCCGGAGCCUAUUUCCUUCCUGAGUUUGCACUCUCUCCUCAGGGAAGUUUUCUGGAAGACACAACAGGGGAGCAGUUCCUCACUUAUCGCUAUGAUGACCAGACCUCAAGAAACACUCGUUCAGAUGAAGACAAAGAUGGCAACUGGGAUGCUUGGGGUGACUGGAGUGACUGCUCCCGGACCUGUGGGGGAGGAGCAUCAUAUUCUCUGCGGAGAUGUUUGACUGGAAGGAAUUGUGAAGGGCAGAACAUUCGGUACAAGACAUGCAGCAAUCAUGACUGCCCUCCAGAUGCAGAAGAUUUCAGAGCCCAGCAGUGCUCAGCCUACAAUGAUGUCCAGUAUCAGGGGCGUUACUAUGAAUGGCUUCCACGAUAUAAUGAUCCUGCUGCCCCGUGUGCACUCAAGUGUCAUGCACAAGGACAAAACUUGGUGGUGGAGCUGGCACCUAAGGUACUGGAUGGAACUCGUUGCAACACGGACUCCUUGGACAUGUGUAUCAGUGGCAUCUGUCAGGCAGUGGGCUGCGAUCGGCAACUGGGAAGCAAUGCCAAGGAGGACAACUGUGGAGUCUGUGCCGGCGAUGGCUCCACCUGCAGGCUUGUACGGGGACAAUCGAAGUCACACGUUUCUCCUGAAAAGAGAGAAGAAAAUGUAAUUGCUGUUCCUUUGGGAAGUCGAAGUGUGAGAAUUACAGUGAAAGGACCUGCCCACCUCUUUAUUGAAUCAAAAACACUUCAAGGAAGCAAAGGAGAACACAGCUUUAACAGCCCCGGCGUCUUUGUCAUAGAAAACACAACAGUGGAAUUUCAGAGGGGCUCCGAGAGGCAAACUUUUAAGAUUUCAGGACCUCUGAUGGCUGAUUUCAUCUUCAAGACCAGGUACACUGCAGCCAAAGACAGCAUGGUUCAGUUCUUCUUUUACCAGCCCAUCAGUCAUCAGUGGAGACAAACUGACUUCUUUCCCUGCACUGUGACGUGUGGAGGAGGUUAUCAGCUCAAUUCUGCUGAAUGUGUGGAUAUCCGCUUGAAGAGGGUAGUUCCUGACCAUUAUUGUCACUACUACCCUGAAAAUGUAAAACCAAAACCAAAACUGAAGGAAUGCAGCAUGGAUCCCUGCCCAUCAAGUGAUGGAUUUAAAGAGAUAAUGCCCUAUGACCACUUCCAACCUCUUCCUCGCUGGGAACAUAAUCCUUGGACUGCAUGUUCCGUGUCCUGUGGAGGAGGGAUUCAGAGACGGAGCUUUGUGUGUGUAGAGGAAUCCAUGCAUGGAGAGAUAUUGCAGGUGGAAGAAUGGAAGUGCAUGUACGCACCCAAACCCAAGGUUAUGCAAACUUGUAAUCUGUUUGAUUGCCCCAAGUGGAUUGCCAUGGAGUGGUCUCAGUGCACAGUGACUUGUGGCCGAGGGUUACGGUACCGGGUUGUUCUGUGUAUUAACCACCGCGGAGAGCAUGUUGGGGGCUGCAAUCCACAACUGAAGUUACACAUCAAAGAAGAAUGUGUCAUUCCCAUCCCGUGUUAUAAACCAAAAGAAAAAAGUCCAGUGGAAGCAAAAUUGCCUUGGCUGAAACAAGCACAAGAACUAGAAGAGACCAGAAUAGCAACAGAAGAACCAACGUUCAUUCCAGAACCCUGGUCAGCCUGCAGUACCACGUGUGGGCCGGGUGUGCAGGUCCGCGAGGUGAAGUGCCGUGUGCUCCUCACAUUCACGCAGACUGAGACUGAACUGCCCGAGGAAGAGUGUGAAGGCCCCAAGCUGCCCACCGAACGGCCCUGCCUCCUGGAAGCAUGUGAUGAGAGCCCGGCCUCCCAAGAGCUAGACGUCCCUCUCCCUGAGGACAGUGAGACGACUUACGACUGGGAGUACGCUGGGUUCACCCCUUGCACAGCAACAUGCUUGGGAGGCCAUCAAGAGGCCAUAGCAGUGUGUUUACACAUCCAGACCCAGCAGACAGUCAAUGACAGCUUGUGUGAUAUGGUCCACCGUCCUCCGGCUAUGAGCCAGGCCUGUAACACAGAGCCCUGUCCCCCCAGGUGGCAUGUGGGCUCUUGGGGGCCCUGCUCAGCUACCUGUGGAGUUGGAAUUCAGACCCGAGAUGUGUACUGCCUGCACCCAGGGGAGACCCCUGCCCCUCCUGAGGAGUGCCGAGAUGAAAAGCCCCAUGCUUUACAAGCAUGCAAUCAGUUUGACUGCCCUCCUGGCUGGCACAUUGAAGAAUGGCAGCAGUGUUCCAGGACUUGUGGCGGGGGAACUCAGAAUAGAAGAGUCACCUGUCGGCAGCUGCUAACGGAUGGCAGCUUUUUGAAUCUCUCAGAUGAAUUGUGCCAAGGACCCAAGGCAUCGUCUCACAAGUCCUGUGCCAGGACAGACUGUCCUCCACAUUUAGCUGUGGGAGACUGGUCGAAGUGUUCUGUCAGUUGUGGUGUUGGAAUCCAGAGAAGAAAGCAGGUGUGUCAAAGGCUGACAGCCAAAGGUCGGCGCGUCCCCCUCAGUGAGAUGAUGUGCAGGGAUCUACCAGGGCUCCCUCUUGUAAGAUCUUGCCAGAUGCCUGAGUGCAGUAAAAUCAAAUCAGAGAUGAAGACAAAACUUGGUGAGCAGGGUCCGCAGAUCCUCAGUGUCCAGAGAGUCUACAUUCAGACAAGGGAAGAGAAGCGUAUUAACCUGACCAUUGGUAGCAGAGCCUAUUUGCUGCCCAACGCAUCCGUGAUUAUUAAGUGCCCAGUGCGACGAUUCCAGAAAUCUCUGAUCCAGUGGGAGAAGGAUGGCCGUUGCCUGCAGAACUCCAAACGGCUUGGCAUCACCAAGUCAGGCUCACUAAAAAUCCACGGUCUUGCUGCCCCCGACAUCGGCGUGUACCGGUGCAUUGCAGGCUCUGCACAGGAAACAGUUGUGCUCAAGCUCAUUGGUACUGACAACCGGCUCAUCGCACGCCCAGCCCUCAGGGAACCUAUGAGGGAAUAUCCUGGGAUGGACCACAGCGAAGCCAAUAGUUUGGGAGUCACAUGGCACAAAAUGAGGCAAAUGUGGAAUAACAAAAAUGACCUUUAUCUGGAUGAUGACCACAUUAGUAACCAGCCUUUCUUGAGAGCUCUGUUAGGCCACUGCAGCAAUUCUGCAGGAAGCACCAACUCCUGGGAGUUGAAGAAUAAGCAGUUUGAAGCAGCAGUUAAACAAGGAGCAUAUAGCAUGGAUACAGCCCAGUUUGAUGAGCUGAUAAGAAACAUGAGUCAGCUCAUGGAAACCGGAGAGGUCAGCGAUGAUCUUGCGUCCCAGCUGAUAUAUCAGCUGGUGGCCGAAUUAGCCAAGGCACAGCCAACACACAUGCAGUGGCGGGGCAUCCAGGAAGAGACACCUCCUGCUGCUCAGCUCAGAGGGGAAACAGGGAGUGUGUCCCAAAGCUCGCAUGCAAAAAACUCAGGCAAGCUGACAUUCAAGCCGAAAGGACCUGUUCUCAUGAGGCAAAGCCAACCUCCCUCAAUUUCAUUUAAUAAAACAAUAAAUUCCAGGAUUGGAAAUACAGUAUACAUUACAAAAAGGACAGAGGUCAUCAAUAUACUGUGUGACCUUAUUACCCCCAGUGAGGCCACAUAUACAUGGACCAAGGAUGGAACCUUGUUACAGCCUUCAGUAAAAAUAAUUUUCGAUGGAACUGGGAAGAUACAGAUACAGAAUCCUACAAGGAAAGAACAAGGCAUAUAUGAAUGUUCUGUAGCUAAUCAUCUUGGUUCAGAUGUGGAAAGUUCUUCUGUGCUGUAUGCAGAGGCACCUGCCAUCUUGUCUGUUGAAAGAAAUAUCACCAAACCGGAGCACAACCAUCUGUCUGUUGUGGUUGGAGGCAUCGUGGAGGCAGCCCUUGGAGCAAACGUGACAAUCCGAUGUCCUGUAAAAGGUGUCCCUCAGCCUAAUAUAACUUGGUUGAAGAGAGGAGGAUCUCUGAGUGGCAAUUUUUCCUUGCUUUUCAAUGGAUCCCUGUUGUUGCAGAAUGUUUCCCUUGAAAAUGAAGGAACCUACGUCUGCACAGCCACCAAUGCUCUUGGAAAGGCAGUGGCAACAUCUGUACUCCACUUGCUGGAACGAAGAUGGCCAGAGAGUAGAAUCGUAUUUCUGCAAGGACAUAAAAAGUACGUUCUCCAGGCAACCAACACUAGAACCAACAGCAAUGACCCAACAGGAGAACCCCCGCCUCAAGAGCCUUUUUGGGAGCCUGGUAACUGGUCACAUUGUUCUGCCACCUGUGGUCAUUUGGGAGCCCGCAUUCAGAGACCCCAGUGUGUGAUGGCCAAUGGGCAGGAAGUGAGUGAGGCCCUGUGUGAUCACCUCCAGAAGCCACUGGCUGGGUUUGAGCCCUGUAACAUCCGGGACUGCCCAGCGAGGUGGUUCACAAGUGUGUGGUCACAGUGCUCUGUGUCUUGCGGUGAAGGAUACCACAGUCGGCAGGUGACGUGCAAGCGGACAAAAGUCAAUGGAACUGUGCAGGUGGUGUCUCCAAGAGCAUGUGCCCCUAAAGACCGGCCUCUGGGAAGAAAACCAUGUUUUGGUCAUCCAUGUGUUCAGUGGGAACCAGGGAACCAGGUAAAGCUAACACAUCUAGUGUGUGGACAGCACUAUCUGUCCACACAGAUAGUGUGAUAAUAAUCACGUUGUUUCCAAUAAACUACUUCUGGGGCGGGGGGCAGGAAUCUGACUG